CCCUUAGAUGUUCGGGGCCGCACGCGCGCUACACUGAAGGAAUCAGCACGUCUUUCUCCUUGUCCGAAAGGACUGGGUAACCCGCUGAACCUCCUUCGUGCUAGGGAUUGGGGCUUGUAAUUCUUCCCCAUGAACGAGGAAUUCCCAGUAAGCGCGAGUCAUAAGCUCGCGUUGAUUACGUCCCUGCCCUUUGUACACACCGCCCGUCGCUACUACCGAUUGGAUGGUUUAGUGAGAUCCUCGGAUCGGUCCCGGAGCGGCCUCUGGUCGUGCCGGAGUGCCGAAAAGAAUGUCGAACUUGAUCAUCUAGAGGAAGUAAAAGUCGUAACA
rnacentral:rRNA from 1 species